CCUACGGGGCGCACCAGUGGGGAAUUUUGGACAAUGGGCGAAAGCCUGAUCCAGCAAUGCCGCGUGCAGGAUGAAGGCCCUCGGGUUGUAAACUGCUUUUGUACGGAACGAAAAGACUCUCUCUAAUAAAGAGGGUUAAUGACGGUACCGUAAGAAUAAGCACCGGCUAACUACGUGCCAGCAGCCGCGGUAAUACGUAGGGUGCGAGCGUUAAUCGGAAUUACUGGGCGUAAAGCGUGCGCAGGCGGUUAUGUAAGACAGAGGUGAAAUCCCCGGGCUCAACCUGGGAACGGCCUUUGUGACUGCAUGGCUAGAGUGCGGCAGAGGGGGAUGGAAUUCCGCGUGUAGCAGUGAAAUGCGUAGAUAUGCGGAGGAACACCGAUGGCGAAGGCAAUCCCCUGGGCCUGCACUGACGCUCAUGCACGAAAGCGUGGGGAGCAAACAGGAUUAGAUACCCCAGUAGUC
rnacentral:rRNA from 1 species